CAAUAGCGUAUAUUAAAGUUGUUGCAGUUAAAAAGCUCGUAGUUGAAUUUCUUGUCAGUGUCAGACGUGGCUCAGGUCUGUCUGAGGCUGAUAAUCCGUUUACAAACUAUUUCCGGCCUUCACUGGUUCGACUUAGGGAGUAAACAUUUUACUUUGAAAAAAUUAGAGUGUUUCAGGCAGGCAACCGCUUGAAUACAUUAGCAUGGAAUAAUGGAAUAGGUCUCGUAGCUAUUUUGUUGGUUAUUAGUUAUGAGAAAUGAUUAAUAGGAUCAGUUGGGGGCAUUAGUAUUUAAUUGUCAGAGGUGAAAUUCUUGGAUUUAUUAAAGACUAACUAAUGCGAAANCANNNGCCAAGGAUGUUUUCAUNAA
rnacentral:rRNA from 1 species